AGUGAACGCUGGCGGUAGGCCUAACACAUGCAAGUCGAACGGCAGCACAGUAAGAGCUUGCUCUUACGGGUGGCGAGUGGCGGACGGGUGAGGAAUACAUCGGAAUCUACUUUUUCGUGGGGGAUAACGUAGGGAAACUUACGCUAAUACCGCAUACGACCUACGGGUGAAAGCAGGGGAUCUUCGGACCUUGCGCGAUUGAAUGAGCCGCUGUCGGAUUAGCUAGUUGGCGGGGUAAUGGCCCACCAAGGCGGCGAUCCGUAGCUGGUCUGAGCGGAUGAUCGGCCACACUGGAACUGAGACAGGCACCAGAGUCCUACGGGAGGCAGCAGUCGGGAAUAUUAGGCAAUGGGCGCAAGCCUGAUCCAGCCAUACCGCGUGGGUGAAGAAGGCCUUCGGGUUGUAAAGCCCUUUUGUUGGGAAAGAAAAGCAGCAGGUUAAUACCCCGCUGUUCUGACGGUACCCAAAGAAUAAGCACCGGCUAACUUCGUG
rnacentral:rRNA from 1 species